rnacentral:rRNA from 1 species
AACGAACGCUGGCGGCAUGCCUAACACAUGCAAGUCGAACGAGACCUUCGGGUCUAGUGGCGCACGGGUGCGUAACGCGUGGGAACCUGCCCUUAGGUUCGGAAUAACUCCCCGAAAGGGGUGCUAAUACCGGAUAAUGUCUUCGGACCAAAGAUUUAUCGCCUUUGGAUGGGCCCGCGUUGGAUUCGCUAGUUGGUAGGGUACAAGCCUACCAAGGCGACGUUCCAUAGCUGGUCUGAGAGGAUGAUCAGCCACACUGGGACUGAGACACGGCCCAGACUCCUACGGGAGGCAGCAGUGGGGAAUAUUGGACAAUGGGCGAAAGCCUGAUCCAGCAAUGCCGCGUGAGUGAUGAAGGCCUUAGGGUUGUAAAGCUCUUUUACCCGGGAUGAUAAUGACAGUACCGGGAGAAUAAGCUCCGGCUAACUCCGUG